rnacentral:lncRNA from 1 species
AAUUAGGGAGGGGCCGACCAACAGAAAGAUGAGACCCAUGGAGAGAGAGCAGCAGAGGAGAACAAGGGGACUCCACAGACCUCCCACCAGUACAACGGCUCCCCGCUUCUCCCUCUGCUGCCUGGCAGUGCCCUGGCACUGUCCCACAGAGCAGAAGGAAGACAGGACCCUGCUGAAGAGGAGAAGAGCCUGGGACGGAGGCAUUGGGACCCAGCCAGCACUUCCUAAAGAGCCACUCUGUAAACAGGAGUCUGCAGACACAGCGUAGUCCCUCCUGGAAACCAUGGCCUCCCCGGUAGAAAGCGGUAUUCCUCAUAGCAACAUGAUAUGAACUAACACACUUCCCAAGACCCUCAGUGUAGCUGCACCUCCAACACCUUCCUGCUGGCCCACGCUAUAGCGCAGGCAGCGCUGAGCCAGGCCGGGCCAGGCACUGACGCCCAGUCAAUGUGUUCUGGGCGCAUAAGCAAACUGAGCAAUGAGAAAGCCCAUCUCCAACAGGGCUGCUCCCCACAACAGACCUCUCAUCUGGAGCCAAGGGGAGAGAAGAGGAGGAGGAAGACCACAGAUGGACCCAAAGCACUGCACACUGGGUGGUUCUGGGCCCGGACAGGCCAGUAACAAAAAGCAGCAGAAAGAAGGAUACUUUCCAACAAAGCAAGGAGAGUUCAGGAAGAAAGCACAGAUUCUAAUCUGUGUGGCCACAAGAGAACACAUGGUAGAAUCCCUUCCAGCAAAGCCGCCUGCUCUCCCCUGACUGCUUUCCCUUUCUGAGAUGAGUUUUCCUUCCCUGGCCAGGGCUGGGAGGCCGUGCUCCUCCUGGCAGGGGCUCAGGCCACACCUCUUGGAAGAGCAGCUCAGCUGACCUUGGGCCCACAUGUCCUGGAACCAACUCUGAAGCCAACACCAGGCAGUCCCACCCUGAGAAGGGACCAAGCACAGAGGCGGCCACUGCAGCCAACUGCACAGCUGGACCCGGGUAGGGCUCCUCCCUCGGGACCUCCAGAUGGCUCCUCACCCUUGAGGUCCCUUCUUUUUGGUCAGAGCUACUCUAGUCGCACCCACUCAGUCGUGAACUGGAGCAGCAGCCAGAGAGAGAGUAAGACAAUGGUGAAUGAGAAGAGGCCAGGUGACAGGAACCUGCAAGCUCAUCCAUCCACAAACAUCCACUGAGCACCUGCCACGGGCUGGGCCCCGUGCAUUCAACAACAAGUAAGAGAGACAUCCUCUGCUUUCUCAAAGCUCCCAUUCUAGUAUAAGGACUCGGUCAAGAUCCACAGGGACAUGUUUAAAAGUGCUAAGUGCCCAAGAGGGAAAAAGGAAAAGAGGAGAGAAAGUGUGGUGGGGGUAAGGGGUGGGCGCUGGCGCUGGGACUGAACUGUAGGUUGAGUAGCCAGAGAAGGAAGGAGGGAGGGAGUAUGUCCUACUGUGGGGAGAGGGCUCCAGGCCAAGGAAAAAGUGCAAAGGCCUGAGGCAGGCUCACGCUUGGCAUAUUGGAAUAGGGAGGCCAGUGGGGACCGAGCAGAGGGGGCAGAGUGGCAGAGAUGAGGUCAAAGCAGUCACAUGGACAAGAAUAUAUGGGGCCAUGUACAUCCUAGUAAGGGCUGGGUGUUUGCUAAGCAUUCAGUG